rnacentral:misc_RNA from 1 species
AACAUCGCGCACCUGCGGGAACCUGCGGAGGGAUCAUUACCGAGUGUGAACCCCCCCGUAAAAAAGAGGGGUUACCUCCCGUCCUUUGCUGGGAACCCCUUUCCAACUUGGAAGGAGGUUGUUUUCAGACCCUUCUGCUUCGGUGGGGUAACCCACCGGAACAACCUCAAAAAUAUUCUCAAUUCAAAACCGUUCAGUCCGAGAACAUUUUUGAAAAGCGAAAAAACUUUUAACAAUGGA